rnacentral:rRNA from 14 species
GAGACAGACACGUCGAGCAGAGACGAAAGUCGGUCAUAGUGAUCCGGUGGUCCCGCGUGGAAGGGCCAUCGCUCAACGGAUAAAAGGUACGCCGGGGAUAACAGGCUGAUACUGCCCAAGAGUCCAUAUCGACGGCAGUGUUUGGCACCUCGAUGUCGGCUCAUCUCAUCCUGGGGCUGGAGCAGGUCCCAAGGGUACGGCUGUUCGCCGUUUAAAGAGGUACGUGAGCUGGGUUUAGAACGUCGUGAGACAGUUCGGUCCCUAUCUUCCGUGGGUGUAGGAUACUUGAGAGGAGUUGCCCCUAGUACGAGAGGACCGGGGUGAACGAUCCACUGGUGGACCUGUUGUCGUGCCAACGGCAGUGCAGGGUAGCUAUGAUCGG